rnacentral:rRNA from 1 species
UCCUACGGGAGGCAGCAGUGGGGAAUUUUGCGCAAUGGGCGAAAGCCUGACGCAGCGACGCCGCGUGAGUGAUGAAGGCCUUCGGGUCGUAAAGCUCUGUCGGAGGGGAAGAAAUGUACGGGUGCGAAUACCACCUGUACUUGACGGUACCCUCAAAGGAAGCACCGGCUAACUCCGUGCCAGCAGCCGCGGUA